AUGCACGCUGGCGGCGUGCCUCAUCCCUGCAAGUCGCGCGCACGGACGAGAAGCUUGCUUCUCUGAUGUUAGCGGCGGACGGGUGAGUAACACGUGGAUAACCUACCUAUAAGACUGGGAUAACUUCGGGAAACCGGAGCUAAUACCGGAUAAUAUUUUGAACCGCCUGGUUCAAAAGUGAAAGACGGUCUUGCUGUCACUUAUAGAUGGAUCCGCGCUGCAUUAGCUAGUUGGUAAGGUAACGGCUUACCAAGGCAACGAGGCAUAGCCGACCUGAGAGGGUGAUCGGCCACACUGGAACUGAGACACGGUCCAGACUCCUACGGGAGGCAGCAGUAGGGAAUCUUCCGCAAUGGGCGAAAGCCUGACGGAGCAACGCCGCGUGAGUGAUGAAGGUCUUCGGAUCGUAAAACUCUGUUAUUAGGGAAGAACAUAUGUGUAAGUAACUGUGCACAUCUUGACGGUACCUAAUCAGAAAGCCACGGCUAACUACGUG
rnacentral:rRNA from 1 species